UACGUAGGGGGCUAGCGUUAUCCGGAAUUACUGGGCGUAAGGGGUGCGUAGGUGGUUUCUUAAGUCAGAGGUGAAAGGCUACGGCUCAACCGUAGUAAGCCUUUGAAACUGGGAAACUUGAGUGCAGGAGAGGAGAGUGGAAUUCCUAGUGUAGCGGUGAAAUGCGUAGAUAUUAGGAGGAACACCAGUUGCGAAGGCGGCUCUCUGGACUGUAACUGACACUGAGGCACGAAAGCGUGGGGAGCAAACAGG
rnacentral:rRNA from 1 species